rnacentral:lncRNA from 1 species
AAUUAGGAUGAUUCCUCCAUCCUGGGUUAUAAGUUGGUGCAUAGGGAUAAUUUAUAGGUCUUUGAUAGGUGGCAUAGACUUGUGCCAUUCUAUUUUUGGUUGAGCCCAUCAGGAAAGGAUAUUCUUCCAUAACAUGAUCUGGUGCGUUACACCCAUUGCACAUGGGUGCAAAUACUUAGUUUACUUAGGUGUGUCCUUGAAGUUCUAAGGCCUCAAUCCUAUGGGCC